UCGACGUCAGUGCCUCAUGCCUCGACGGCGAGCUAGGGGGUUAGGGCUCCCGACCUCCACACUUUGGCAACAAGAGGGGGGUCAGAUUUCCUAACCUCUCCACCUCGAUAGCGAGGGAGGUUAGAGUGUUUGACCUCCACACCUCAACAGUGAGGGGAGGUUAUGUUUAUUAACCCUCGCACCUCAAUGGUGAUGGGGACGGGGUGCCCGAUCUUUUUCACCUCAAUAGGUGGCACGGGCUUUCCUGACCAGCAUACCUUGGGCAUCUCUUCCUUUAUAUGCUAGCCGUGGUGACUUCUUUUCAUAUAAUUAGGCUUUUUUGACUCACACGCUUGGGGUAUAUUUUGUCUUAUGCCUCUUAUUGUGGUAAGUUUCUUCUCAUAUGAAUCAGGUUUUCUUGACUCACGUGCCUUAGAUAUAUUUUAUCUUGUGUCUUCCAUCGUGAUAAGUUUCUUCUCACUUGAGUUGGAUUUUCUUGGCUUAUGUGUCUCAAGCAUUUUUUUUAUGCCUUAGUCAUAAUGGAUUUCUUCUUAUGAGGGUUGAGUUUUCGUAAUUCAUACACCACAUUUUGCUUAUGACAUGUAGAUUCACAAUCAUGAAAGGUGAGAUAGAGUCGUUGGUGAACCCCAUCAUCGAAAAAGUCAUUGGAGUAUCGUCAGUUGGCAACCAAAGUUUUUGAAGAUUAUCAAAAUAAAGGAUAUCAAUAGAGCUACCUAUGUCGAUCAUGACCCUUUUCACUUAAGUGUAGAUCAUUCUCAUAGAGACUACUAGGGCAUUAUUAUGAUUUGGGUCGAAGUACUCUGUAUCUUUAUCUUUGUAAGUUACUUUCGAUUCACCCUUCAUCCUCGGGUGCAUUUCAGUGGUAGCUCAAGCAUAAGACUUAUAGGCUAAUGAAUUGUCUCCCCAUUUGAGAUCGAGGUGAGUGUUCCCGGUGCUUUCAAAUGAAUCACAUGAGAUGUCCUUAAUAUAUAAGCUUUUCAAUCUACUCUUUUAAGUUAUGACAAUCUUUAAUGUUGUUAUCAUAACCUCAUUGGAACCGAUGGUACUUUGACAUAUCUCUUUUCAUUAAUGGGAUCUUCAUUAUGUUAGGGUCACAUAAAUAUCCUUUUAAUUUUAGUCAUAUUUAAAUGGGUCAACUCGGACAUUAGGUGAGGUAGCUCGGAUCAUUCAUUUCUUCUCCGUUAAGGUGAUCUUGAGGUCGGGGCUAAUUAUAACCACUCUUGCUUUGGCCUCUUACGUAACUUCUUGUGUUUGCCUGAGACCAUUGCCUUGACAGUAAUGUAUUGAUUAGCCUUUUGAAGUACCUUAGGUACAGUCGCUUGUCAUGAACGAUCAUCGUGCACCCGUAACAUCUUCACUUAAUGAAUCGCUCGUCACUUUUGUAUGCUUGUACAGAUGUCUAGUAGCAUGUUUUGCCUUGGUUUUAUAUUUUUAAUUGAAAAUACAAGCAAGAACAGUUCGCAAUACUAUACUGUGACCACUCACUAUACUAGAUAAAACUAUCCUAAAAUGGCUCCGUUUUCACAUGUCACAAUCUAUUUUCUAUAUAUUGUAAUGCAAUGCGAAACAUCAGCUAUCUCAGACCACUGGAACCCCCUGGGUGGCACAGGGGUGGAUAGGGCUUCAAGGUAGUGUCAUGUAUUGAUCGGUUUACACAAGUUCACACGUUGAGUUGAUGAAAUUUGCCAUCACGCUUGACACCCGAUGGGCAAUCAUUUGUGGACUUACGACUGCUUGUUUUGCCUUCUAAAGUCCUUAUUUUUUUAUUCCUCUUUUUUCUCUCUUGCACACAAAGUGUUUGUUGAAUUGCUUAUAAAGUUGCCCUCUUCAGGAGACAUCAGAACUUAUCUAUCGCUCGUUUUCAAACUAAUCAACUUGUUUGUUUUAUAGGUCCUACAAGAUCUUAGCAAGAUUACAAAUAGGCUGACCCUUUAUGGACGCAUAUCGCAAGGGUGCUUCAUAAAUUAGGCAAUCUCAACUAAGUUCGAGAAGUUGGCAUAAGAGUGCUUCACGACUUGAGCAACUCCAGCUAAGUUCGUGGCUUUACCGCAAGGGUGCCUCAUGACUUAGACAAUUUCAACUAAGUCUAUAACACGAUGGUGAUCUCUCUAUCAAUGACUAAAAGAGACGAUAGGGCUUAAGCCACAUUAUGAAUAUUUGUAUUAUGAGUGAUGUAUGAGCAUCUACUACGUCUCGAAUCUUAUUUAUGAACCAAGCGACAAAGUCUGUGAGCAUUUUUUCCUCCCCCUACUACCUAAGUUUGAUGAGUGUUGUUGUUGAAGGCCAAGGGUAUACGUUCCUAAGAAAAUAAAGUUCAAACUCCCUCAUCAAGUAUAUAAAAAGUAGCUUUAGGCGA
rnacentral:lncRNA from 1 species